UGAAAUGAAAUCUGUUGCUAGGUGCGUGCAUGCUUGGAUAUAAGGGUGCGAGCAUCCAUGUAUUGGGCAUGUUUUUGGAAUGAAACUUCUUUCUCCCUAUUCUUCUAAUCUUCCUCUCCUUUUCCUCUCUGAGAUCUCUCUUCCCUAUAUGAAUUCUGUAUUCUCUGUUCAUAAUAAUCCAAUUACUGAGACUUGUCCCAUUUCAGCUGCUAAGGUAUUAAACUAAUUAAUCUAGUUCCUUACAUGUUGUUACCAUGUUAUUUGCGGGUCAAAUUGUCUCACAACUUUGGGGAUGACUGAUCAUGGGGUCUGUUGAUGAUCUUGGGCAGUCUUUGUGGGUUUCGUCUUUGUUGUAGUCUUUCCAUUGAUUGAUAUUUGGCUAAAUGUUAAUAUUUAAGGUCAAUUCAUGGUGUUUGUGCUUGGAUUUAGUUCCAGUUAGCUUCACCAGAAUUUCUGCUCUCUGAAUAUCCUGGUGAUGUUCGUGUUUUGGAUUUAUCGGUGGUGGGCAUGGCUAGAAUGGUUUUUUGCAGAUUCCGGUGAUAUCCCCUGCGUUUUUCGGUGUUCUUCGCCAGAUUUCUUGGGGGUCAACUUCAGUGGACUGAUUGAUUUCUUUUGGACCCAAUCUUUAGUGGUUGCAAAUAUUCGGAUAAUUGACUGCACGCGUGACCUUUUGAUUUGGAUUUCUAUUGGGGUUCAUCACGUGGGCCAACUGGUCACGUGGGUUUCAUAUGAUGCAGAUAUGUUUUGCUCCAUGGGACCCAUACAAUUUGCAAGCUGAAUUUACUUUUGGGCUUCAUGCUGAUUGCUUUGCCGAGUUGGUUUCUAGUUAUGGAUCCUCUCGCGGGCUUCUCUUUUGGCAACUGAGCUCCAUUUUGGGGCCUUUAAUUGUCGUGUAAUUCCUAAACCUAACCUUGGGUUGUGCGGUUUAAUUUUUAAAGUUAGGUUUUUGGAUUUUCCUAGUUUUUCUAGGUGUUAUAGUCCCUACGGGAGAGGACUAUGCCUUGAGCUUCAUUGUACAAUUUAAUUUUUUGUAAUUUUUAUACAGACCAAAUUAGCAAAAAAAAUAAAAAAUAAUACUCAUUAGAAUUACCAAUAUUAGUUUUCCAUUAAAUAUGCAAUUAAAAGCUCAUGUUUGCGCUUGACUGCCUAUGGCGCUGUAG
rnacentral:lncRNA from 1 species